UCCGUAGGCGGGCGACUAAGUCAGAGGUGAAAUCCCACAGCUUAACUGUGGAACUGCCUUUGAUACUGGUUGUCUUGAGUUAUAGUGAAGUAGAUAGAAUAUGUAGUGUAGCGGUGAAAUGCUUAGAUAUUACAUAGAAUACCGAUUGCGAAGGCAGUCUACUAACUGUAUACUGACGCUAAUGGACGAAAGCGUGGGGAGCGAACAGGAUUAGAUACCCUGGUAGUC
rnacentral:rRNA from 1 species